CUGGGGCUCUCCACUCUCUCCUCUCCUCACCAUCAGGACCUGCCAUUGGAUUCCAUUCAAAAAAAACUCCCAUCUUCCCUUAUUCCCUCCGCCCCUACCUCUCAGCUUUUUCUCUGUUGCCUAUCUUGUUUUUGUUUUUUUAUGGUCUUUCCUAUUACGUCACCUGCCCGCCACCUCCAUCCUCAAGAUGGGAAUUUUUCUAAUUUCUAUUGAUUUUUCCUGCAGAUGAAGCGAGAAAAGCUGACCCUGUCCCAUAGGUUUUUGUGGUCAGGGAGCACACCUCUUUCUUUUUUCUUUUUUUGUUCUCCAGCUCUCCCUCCUGACUGCCUCUCUGUGGAUAUCAUUCCUGAUUCUGCACAUGCAAAUGAUACAGGAAGAAGGGAGGGAGGAGGGGGUGGCUUCACUCGGAUUCAUCGCCCCCCCUCCUCCUGCUCCUCCUCUUCGUCUUCUUCUUCUUUUCCCUGGGUGGAGCAGGAGUGGGCUGGUGAGCCGAAGCACGCUGAGAAACCACGGGCAUGGGGUCUCAUUAGUCUUUCUUUCACCAUCGAUUACAAGUGUGUGACAGGUUCCAGACGGGUUGAGAGGGGAGAACAAUGUGUUGUGACCCUCAGUACCGCCCUCCAGCUCAGCGCCUGGCUUCGACUCCUUCUCCCAGCAGGCCGUGGGGGGCCUGGCCGCCGCCCCUCUGCCUCCUCUCCCCUCUCCCCCGCCUCCACCACCACCACCAGAAUCAAUCGCUCUGCGACACCAUACAAACGAUCCACUGAAGUCCAUGCAUCACAGUACAGUGCACCACCAACAAUGACCAGCCAUGUGGCUCAGCAGUGAGAGAGAAUAAGAUGGAGAGUUAUUACGGUGACGAGGGGGGAACCGUGAAGGGAGACCACUUCCGCUGACAUCAGGACGACGCCAUGAAGUCCAGAUUAACUGGCGACAGGACUGUUCGCUCUGAGUGAUACCUCCACAUGGAAAGUAUAACAAAACUGUCAGGUAAGUCUGCUUUUUCAUCCUUGGUAAGGAAGUGUUAUUAUCACUUUCUAAUUUACCAUCUAAAUUAUGUGGCUUUGCACCUCUUUUUUGUGCUGCAGUUUAAUACUUAUCCAGGGAGUCAUGUGAACAGUAAGUUCUCUCUCUAAUUUCCCCACUCAAUGACUUUAUGAGUGAACAGGUAAUGCAUCAUUCUUCUCAUUGACUAAUGUUCUGGUUCAUUUUGUCCUUUCCGCUUCGCCAUCGCCCGCCGUGCAACACUGAUUAAUGCCAUCACAGCAAAUUAGAUAGCCGAGGAACAACAUGUUUAUCAUUUUCAAGCAUUAAGAAAAGUACUUUCUUGCUUCGUUUCCUUCAGCACAUUCAAAGCAGUGGCCACAUCAAGGUGAUGUAUGCGUAGGCAGCAUAGAGGAGGAAAUAUUAAUUGGAAUGUAGGCAGAGUGGUGGCCUCUCUUUUAUAGGUUGUUAGACAGAGGACGAGGGCUGAGGGUAACCUACGUCCACGUACUGACGCUGUUCUUUACUGUGCACUCUAAGAGAAACCGACUUUGAAUGGAAAAUGUUUUCACUGAGCCUCUGCUGAAAGUGCAAAUGUUAAAUGUUGUCAGUUGUCUUCUUGAUCGCUUAUAGCAUCAAGAGGUAUUUUAAAAGCAUACUUGAACUCCAACUAAGCUGGCUGAGUCUCCAGAGCUGUGUUGCAGUUCAUUGAACUCGAUUUAUUGCUGCAUCCACAGGGUGAAAGUAUAAUGGUUUACUUGUGAAAAACCCAAUGUAAACUCUGCAUAGUGACCUCAUUUGUUGUCAGACAGGAUGAAGUGUUUGGCACAGCAACAGGCUAACAGCUGCCGGAAAUUUACCAGCAAUUAUAAGGAUCAGUUGUCUGUCUGGCUGGAUACUGUUAUUUUAUUCUUUAGGUAACUUACAUUGUUGUCUUUAAUAACUCAUCAUCUUUGGCUAACUGUUGUCACAUUUACAAGACUUCUGAUUCAAUAUUCACUGUCAUCAUACAAUUUUAUGGCAGGAGGCGGGAUAAUAAGCUGUAAAUACAACAUAUUGAUAUUAUUAUUCUACAAAGUUGCCAUGAAAAAGACCCUUUUUUAUACAUCCAGCAGGUACAUUGACUAACUUCAGUAUUUGUUUUAUGUUUCCUGCCAUCUGACAAAUGAUUAUUCAAUAUUCACCUUUCUUUCUGCCCCGUUUUGAUCUCCACCAGUGCGUGACACUUAGAUAAUUAGCCACUAAACUGCUCAAGCUCCACUGUUCAGCCGCUAGUUGAUAACUUCAUCUGUUACUACUGAGCUAGUUUUUUUAAAAAAAAGAGGUACUUCCUGACAGCUGCUGCUGUAAUUUUGUUGUUAAUUUGUUUGUUUUUAUAGGUAUGUUAAGCUAGUUUGAGACCAGAAUCUUGGCUGACUGAAUCACAGUAGCACAGCUGGAGGCCCUAAAAUCAGAAUAGUUAGCUUAAAGACAGUACAGUUUGGUCAUAGAUCUGUAUUAAGGUAUUUGAUCUACUGCCUGUAUGUAAAUAUUACCUAGUGUAGCUUUAACAUUAAUGUAUUUAAAAUUUUUAUUGUAUUCUUUUGUUUCUUUUUAUCUAACUAUGUAACCAGGACUGCAUUUGAAAACUAGAAAAGCACUCCAAGAGCGCUGUACUCCGCCAAGGCUACUCAUUCUCCUAUAUGGCAUUGUCAGAAAUGCAACUUUUUUUUGUAGAAAUGCAGCAUUUGUUUAUUAGUUAUUGAUGAUCAUAAAUCACGGCACCAUAGAAUGUGGCCAUUUAAUAUAGAUGUUCCCACAAACAAAAUGACCUGCGCUGAGCACAGGCGUGUAUGAUGCAUGUGUAUGUUAUGUACGGAUACAGAAUCGCCUAAGUAUGUAGUGAGUGGCGGGAAUCGAUGGGACUCAGAAACACCCCCACAAUUUCAUCAAUUGUUCCUUGUAUCAUUUCAAACGGAUAAGUCCGCAGUGGUCCAUUUGUAGUAGGAUCGCUGUCAGGCUGGCAGCUGCCAGAGCUAGAUAGUGCUCCGUCUCCCUCUUUCUCCUCCUCUUUUUCCUUUUUAGGUGUUCCUGGAAGUAAUUGCUGCGCCAGGUGUUUCACAUCACCCUCAUCAGCUGGUUCAGGAGCAGGUGGAACGCUGCCAAUCAGACCUCACUCUCUCAGCAUUUAAGCAGACGCUACUCACCUCUCGGUGCCGGAUUGUGAUACAGCCUUUUUGGAUCUACCUGCUCCUGCCUGGUCUCACCUGGAUUCUUCGCCGUCUUCCUCACUCGGGGUUGAUUCAUCACAGCCGUUCCUUGGCGUCCACUUCAUACCUACCGGCUGUCUCAAGUUCUCCCUGGUUUCCGUUCACAUGAGGUCCUCCUGCGUGAGCCCAGUCCGAGCAUCAGCCUAGUUUCAGUCUGAGAUGAGUUUAUCAAAGUUAUUCUGAGUAGCAUUAUUGUGCCCUUUGGUUACUUUGGUUACCCUUUGGUUUAGUUAGAGUCUCUAGACGAGUGCGUUGGAGUCUAUUGUUUUGUUAGGAUUAAAAGCUUUGUAGUUUUAGUGAAGUUUUGUGAAAACCUUCUUGCCUGAGUAUUACCCACAGUGAGUAGCGUCUUUAGUUGUUGUAGGUCCGCCUCACCACUAGUAGUAUUAGAGUGCUCAUCCUGAGUAUAGUAUUGACCGUUUUGAUCCUUGUUUUGGUCUGUAGUAAAAUCCGUUUGUAAAUAAACUCUGUUA